rnacentral:lncRNA from 1 species
AAUGGAUUGCCUUAUGAGAUAGUGAAUCCUGUCUUCUAUUCUGAGAUGAACCUGUCAGGCCCAUCCCCUUGUGGUUUGGGUCAAAGAUCGCAAUGAUAUGAGAUGUAGGUCUUUUAACAGUUAACUAAAGGAUUGAAUAUGGUCAAUGAGGAAAUUUGUUUUGCUUAAUUAUACAAAAAAGGAUUUCCUUUAAUUUUUUUCAUUCUCAACUGAGGACAAAUCUGGGUUGGGGUAGGAAGGAGAGAAGGUAGAUAUUUGCUCAUUAAAAAAUAAUAAAAUGUAAUUAAAAAAAUAAAGAACAAAACAAUUCAGCAACAACAGAAUGGUUAAUAAAAAGAGAUUUAUUUGACCACAGCAAGGGAAGGAUCUUCUACUGGCCAGGGAAGAAGUGUGUGGAAAGUAAAUAAGACCAACAGUUUGUGGGGGAAGGGCCCGACUGGGAGUGGCAGUUGGGUCUUGUGACUAGCACUUCCUUCCUGCCCGGAGGGGCAGUGGAGUCUGGUGACUAGUCCUUCCUUCCUGCGAGGUGGGUCUUGUGUCCUGGGGUUGGAGGAGAGUGGAGCUUGUUCAGCCCAGUCUGGAGUGGCAUGCUCUUCUUGGUUCAGCCCAAAGACACAGGCUUCUAAAGCCCUACAUGAACUACCCACAUCAUCAGCUGGGUUAAUGCCAACAUUUAAAUAUGAGCCUCCAGCAUGCAUUUAUGUAUAACCAGCAGGAAAAUUCCUUUAGUUGAUGGUACAAAAAACAGGACAUAUGAAAGGUAAGCAGAAAGAAUGAC